GAUGAACGCUGGCGGUGUGCUUAACACAUGCAAGUCGAACGGAAAGGCCCAAGCUUGCUUGGGUACUCGAGUGGCGAACGGGUGAGUAACACGUGGGUGAUCUGCCCUGCACUUCGGGAUAAGCCUGGGAAACUGGGUCUAAUACCGGAUAGGACCACUUCUUGGAUGUUGUGGUGGAAAGUUUUCUCGGUGUGGGAUGAGCUCGCGGCCUAUCAGCUUGUUGGUGGGGUAUUGGCCUACCAAGGCGUCGACGGGUAGCCGGCCUGAGAGGGUGUACGGCCACAUUGGGACUGAGAUACGGCCCAGACUCCUACGGGAGGCAGCAGGGGGGAAUAUUGCACAAUGGGCGCUAGCCUGAUGCAGCGACGCCGCGUGGGGGAUGACGGCCUUCGGGUUGUAAACUCCUUUCGCUAGGGACGAAGCGUUUUUGUGACGGUACCUGGAGAAGAAGCACCGGCUAACUACGUG
rnacentral:rRNA from 1 species